CGCCCCUCAAGGAAGCUCGCGAGCGCCAGGCAGCUGUGCAGGUGAACGCUUCCGUCCCCGUCCUUCAUUCAGAAGACGGCGGUGGAGUGCCAGUCAUCAUAACUGAGUGACUGGGGAGGCAGUCCCGUCUCGUUAGCAGCUCACACGGCCUUCCAGCCAUGACUUCUUCCCUAAGGAGCUGCCCUCUGGCUGAUCUGCUUGGGGACACCUGGGCAUCCUACCAAUGUGAUCGAAGUUCCUGCUGCUCUGAGAAGUCUCCCCAUUUAGACUGGAACCAAAAGACAGUCAAGCACGGGUGAAGUAGAAGGGAGAACCUCUGGCACUGACAGGACAGGAACACCUGUGCAAACUGGAUGACCAAGCAUCAGACAGGAAGAUGAAUAUCUCAUCAGAUGCCUGUGUUGACAUAUGACCUGAAGUACUAGAUGUGGACUGACUGCUGUCUCCUUGACUGUAUCCUUGGAAUUCAGAUGCAGACCUGCAGAAAACUCCAAAUUCACUGACAAUGUAUCUACAAAGUUGAUAAGGUGGGGAUUCAAAACAGAAAUUAGACUAAACUAUAUAAUAAUAAUAAAAGUUCUCUCUCUCUUUUUU
rnacentral:lncRNA from 1 species